rnacentral:rRNA from 1 species
GAUGAACGCUAGCUACAGGCUUAACACAUGCAAGUCGAGGGGAAACGAUAGAGAAAGCUUGCUUUUUCUAGGCGUCGACCGGCGCACGGGUGAGUAACGCGUAUCCAACCUGCCCAUCACUUGGGGAUAACCUUGCGAAAGUAAGACUAAUACCCAAUGACGUCUCUAGAAGACAUCUGAAAGAGAUUAAAGAUUUAUCGGUGAUGGAUGGGGAUGCGUCUGAUUAGCUUGUUGGCGGGGUAACGGCCCACCAAGGCGACGAUCAGUAGGGGUUCUGAGAGGAAGGUCCCCCACAUUGGAACUGAGACACGGUCCAAACGCCUACGGGAGGCAGCAGUGAGGAAUAUUGGUCAAUGGGCGAGAGCCUGAACCAGCCAAGUAGCGUGCAGGAUGACGGCCCUAUGGGUUGUAAACUGCUUUUAUAAGGGAAUAAAGUGAGUCUCGUGAGACUUUUUGCAUGUACCUUAUGAAUAAGGACCGGCUAAUUCCGUGCCAGCAGCCGCGGUAA